AAAAACCAGAGAGAAAAAAACCCAGCCAAAACCCUCGCCGAACCACCUUCCCUCAACCAUAUCUCCCCCAUUUCUCAACCAUUUCAGCCCAUUUUUUUUUUUAAAUCCUGCAUUUUCGAUACUUAAUAACAUACACCUAAAAAGUUCUGAUUUUUUAGCCUCUAAAAGUGUCAUCCGAACCCAAAUAGUAAAUUUUGGGUGUGAAAUCCGGCCACCCAUUUUUGUUGAGAAAUUGUUCAAUCUCAACCUCGUUUAAGUGUCGGGAUUUUUUACGGUGGUCGUCGGAUUGCGGUUAUUAGGUAAUAAUUUAUACCACAAUGUAUAGUAUAUAUAUGUAUUUGUAUAUUUUAUUGAAUAUUUGUAUAUAAUGUGUGUAUAUAUUGUGUGUGUGUAUAUAGUGUGUGUAUAUUUUUUAUGAAAAUAAAUUUUGUAAUUGUAUUUUAUAUAUUUUUUGCAAUAUAUAUUUAUUGUGAAUAAAAUGACAUUGGAGGGAUUUCAUUA